AUCAAUCCAGAUGCAUUUACCUUAUAUUUUGGAUGUAAGGAAAGUUGCUAGCACUUUACUCUUCAUGAAAUCUGAUGGGGAAAAAACCAACCAACAAUUACUAUAUCAAGAUAGUUUCCUAGUGGCCACGUUGCAUUUUGAGAUAUAUACUUUGAUGAUUGGAAUUUACCCUCUUCGAUAGCCAAGGCAUUUCUUUCUUCAUCAUUCAUGGCAACCAACCUAAUACCAGGUUCAAAUAACUCAAACAAGCUGCAUUGCUGGCCUUUUUG